rnacentral:rRNA from 1 species
GUCUAUGGCCAUACUACCCUGAACAUGCCUGAUCUCUGGUCUCAGAAGCCAAGCAGGGUUAGGUCUGGUUAGUACUUGGAUGGGAGAAAUAAAAGUUUUAGGGU